AACAUCAUAGUAUAUCCCACACAUUAAGGUAUACCUCACAUCGUCUCAUCAAGGUAUACCCCAUACAUCAUAGUAUAUCCCACACAUUAAGGUAUACCUCACAUCGUCUCAUCAAGGUAUACCCCAUACAUCAUAGUAUAUCCCACACAUUAAGGUAUACCUCACAUCGUCUCAUCAAGGUAUACCCCAUACAUCAUAGUAUAUCCCACACAUUAAGGUAUACCUCACAUCGUCUCAUCAAGGUAUACCCCAUACAUCAUAGUAUAUCCCACUCAUUAAGGUAUACCUCACAUCGUCUCAUCAAGGUAUACCCCAUACAUCAUAGUAUAUCCCACACAUUAAGGUUUACAUCACAUCGUCUCAUCAAGGUAUACCCUACAUCUUCUGUUAUUUAUAUAUUACAUCUGUAAACCGUGUUAAUAAAAUAUAAUGAAACCAUGUUAAAACAAACUCAAGUAAAUCAUCAACAAUGUUUCUAGUGUGAAUUCUAUAACUGUCAUAACUGUGUAAACAUAUAUGUUCAUUCAAGACAUUAUUUUAUAUAGACAUAGUGAUAUUUACAAUUAUUUCACACAUUUUGGUUGACAAUACUUAUUUACUUAAAGUCAAAAUGUGUAAAUGUCUGUUUCCUGCCUCCAACAUUUUAAAAUAGGGUUGCUCGGUCAGGAUUUAAUUUUUAUUUAAUUUUUUGCAUGUUAACAAAAUCCCGAAAAAUUUCAUGUUUUCUCAGAGUUUGGUCCCGUUUUACACUUAUGCAUCAGGUAAUUUGCGCAUAAGUGAUGAUAAAUUAAUGUUUUUCAAUGGUUUGUAAAUUCUACAUUUGAUAAGCGAAGAUCUUAUUACAAAUUUGAAAGAAUUAUCCAAAGAAUAUUUGUAGGCUAAUAAGAAGGUUCUUAACACUUAUUCUUGAAUAACUUUUUGGAAAGGCAAUAAAAUAUUUCAGGGUCCGCAAUCGAACUUAGGGUCAUUCAGUAGGCAGGAAACAAGCAUAUUGUUUUUUGGCCUAAUGAAUAUGAUAAUUAUUAUAACA